GGAGACUGUGGGACACACCUCAGAUUUGCACCCUGGCACGGUGGGGGAGAGGGGGGGCGUUGUUCACUGACCCCCAUCCAUCUCUGUUAGAACGCUGCUUCCAGGGCAUGAAUUCUCUGGCACUUUGGCCUGGGCGUGCACGUUCCUGUGACCAGAGAAAGCCCUGGGCAGAGUGCAGGAGCUUGCAAUAAAAAGCUGUAGGUGGGUGUGGAGGACAGAUGUGUGGGCUCCGACAGCAUCUGCUCCAACAUCCGUGUGGAGGUGUGAGUCCCUGUGAGAGGGAGGGCGAGAGGGGUGCACGUGGAGAACGUGUACAGCUGUGAAACCAGAUGAGAUCGUCACAGAGAGGGCAGUGUAAAAAGAGAAGAAGCCCAAGGACAGAGCACCGGGGCCUCCAGCUGUCAGAGGUCCAGUAAAGAAGGAAGAAUCAGGAAAAGAGACGGAGAAGCCUUGAUCAGGAGCUGAGGACUCAGCGAUGAGUGUGGUCCUGGGUCCCGAGGUGUCCUUGGGGGCAAGAUUGGAGCUCAGACACCUCUGGGGGCCUUCCAGGUCCCCCCUACAUACGGCAGGGGAUGUAGUUUUCUCCAGAAGAGGAAAGGACAGCUGUGCCUGCCACACCGCCGAGGUGCUGAUGAGAAUGUGAGCUGGAGGGGAGACGUGGGGAACUUACAGGAAUAUCUGGAAACUUU